AGCUAAGGCCCCCGAAACCAGACGAGCUACCUAAGAACAGCUAAAAGAGCACACCCGUCUAUGUAGCAAAAUAGUGGGAAGAUUUAUAGGUAGAGGCGACAAACCUAUCGAGCCUGGUGAUAGCUGGUUGUCCAAGAUAGAAUCUUAGUUCAACUUUAAAUUUACCUACAGAACCUUCUAAAUCCCCUUGUAAAUUUAACUGUUAGUCCAAAGAGGAACAGCUCUUUGGACACUAGGAAAAAACCUUGUAAAGAGAGUAAAAAAUUUAAUACCCAUAGUAGGCCUAAAAGCAGCCACCAAUUAAGAAAGCGUUCAAGCUCAACACCCAUCCAAAUGGAAAGCAAAAAAAAAAAAAAAAAAAAAAA
rnacentral:lncRNA from 1 species